GGUCCUCUGCUGUGGUCUGACUGAACAACUGGUCCAGGGACAGUUUGGUUGCUUACUUUUUAGGGUUAUGGUUGGUUCUUUGGUAGGGACCGCUAAUCUGAAAUCAGUGACUGGAGUGGAAUAUUCAUGUCAGCCACCACUAAACUUCUGUCAUUGCAAUAACUUAUUAUCUAACCUCUCCCCCUUUCCCUUUCUCCCUUAGCGAGCGCUGGCCCAUUUCUAUGGCUAUGUCUACUUCAGACAAGUCGAGGAUGCCUCCGUCAAGAGGCUACUUUCAGAAGUCUCUUGUACUGGUGUCCAGACUACCGUAUGCCCACCUCUUUCAGUCCCUGCUGCAGAUCAUAGCUCCAGAGUAUUUUGAGAAGUUGGAACCUUGCCUUGAAGCAGUGUGCAACGAGAUUGACCAAUGGCAAUCUCCGGUGCCAGGGCUGACACUCAACCUACCUGUGAUGGGCGUGGUCAUGCAGGUCAGGAUCCCAUCCAAAAAUGACAAACCAGGGGGGAGCCCGGUGAAACAAGCACAAAAGGAGGUGUUUCCAGUCCUUCCUGAUCCACCUGCAGAUCCUCUGGGAGCUCAUGCUGAUCGGGGAGGCCAUGGUCAUCCUGGCACCCUCUCCCACUGUCUCCUCGGAAACCGUGCUGGCCCUAGCGAGCUCGAUUGCUCCACUGCAGUAUUGCUGUGAUUACAGGCAGGCCCUACUUCACCAUACACGACACUGAGUUUAAGGAGUAUACCACUACGAUCCCAAUGUGAUUCUGGGGGUCACUAAUCCCUUCUUUAUAAAGACCUUCCAGUCCUGGCCCCACAUUAUACACCUUGGAGAACUCAAGAUGUCAGGUGACCUGCCUGUGAAGGUGAAGAAACUAGCCAAGCUGAAAACACUGGACACUAAGUCAGGUAUCUACACAGCACAUAAAAUGUUCCUUCAAAAAGAGAAGUCUCUCAUCAAAAGAAUCCUUAAAGGGAUCCAGAGGAAGAGGCCAUCUGAGGUGCAGAGUGCCAUCUUGAGGAGACAUCUGUUAGAACUCACCCAGAGCUUCAUCAUCCCACUGUUGAGGGGACUGCCUUCCUUACCACACAUCCAUCCCACCCCUAUAUAGACUGUCUGUCCUGCUGCACGCUGUGUGUCUCACCUGUCUCCCCCAGGAACACUACCUGGUCAGCCCGAUGCCUCUGCUAGAGGUCUGUGACUCCUUGGAAGAUCCGGAGUUCAUGGGGACUCUGGAGUACGCUGGACCUCGGCUCACCUCUGUGCAGAAAGGGGAUUGGGUGGGUCUGUCCACCUGCCACCUCAUCUGUCAUUUCUAACUAUUGUAUCUAGUUGUGGCACAUAUUUUUCAAACAAAUCAUCCAUAAUGCAUUGCACUUCGAUGUAUGGCCUAGUAGGAAAUUCUUCAGGUCCCCCAACUUCGAUGGCUGGUAUCGCCUGCGACACGGAGAUGGCCCAGAAACCAGAAUGUCUCCACCUAGAAGUCGUCUGUGAUGCUGACCUGCUGGGUUGGACCAAAGGCAAGUCAGAGGUGGAGCUCGUGGAUCUGGUCCUGAAGCUGAGAGGGAAACUGAUCAAUGAAGGCUGGAAAGCAGCAGCUCCCAGUGAAGGAAGGGGCGCUGGAGAACCUAGAGGGAUACCUCCAGACUAUCAUCAACUCUGUACCAUAGGACAUGCUGACUGUACUACACAGAUACUGACUCUAACACUGACACACUGCUGAAUAGAUACAGAAACUGAUGCUGAAGUGUUUUUUUUGUCUUUUAAAAACAACCUGAAUUUAAAGUAUUGCCAUCAGCCAAAACACUACACCCUCUGAGUAAUAUAAUGUAGCAAACUAGAAGUUUAGGUGAUAUUAGAAACAUGGCUAUGGUUCAUCAUGACAAUAAUAUUAGAUCAAGGGGAAUAGAGAGUAGUUGUAGACUUGAUGAGAUUAUGCCUUCACUAAGUAUCCUGAUUGUUACUAGUGGGAUUGAAGCAUAUACCCGUGGAGAAGGACAUGUUUGAGUAUAGCCUGUUUGAGUAUUUAACAUGCAUAGUUGUUAGCGUAAAAUAUAACCAACAUAUGCGCCUACAUUUUUUAUUUUGAUGAGUUUAAAACUCCUGUCAUUAAACCCAUAAAAGGGGUGAUUUACAUUUAAGUAACUACAUUUUGAGGCUUUCAUCACUCAGUAUUUUCUAUUGAUCAAUCUCAGUAUUUUCUAUUGAUCAAGCACAAAUAAAUCACACUACAUUGAAACACUGCUAAAUAUCCAGGUUACAAAAUCUUAAGAUUUUAGUUUAGGGUUGUAUGUACAAAGGUAUGUGGACACCCCUUCAAAUUAGUGGCUUCGGCUAUUUCGGCUACACCCGUUGCUGACAGUUUUUUUUUAA